rnacentral:rRNA from 1 species
GAUGAACGCUAGCUACAGGCUUAACACAUGCAAGUCGAGGGGUAACGAGAGGAAAGCUUGCUUUCCUUGUCGACGACCGGCGCACGGGUGAGUAACGCGUAUCCAACCUGCCCCCAACUAGGGAAUAACCUUGCGAAAGUAAGACUAAUACCCUAUAAUUUCCUCAGAUGACAUCUGACGAGGAAUAAAGAUUUAUCGGUUGUGGAUGGGGACGCGUCUGAUUAGCUUGUUGGCGGGGUAACGGGCCACCAAGGCAACGACCAGUAGGGGUUCUGAGAGGAAGGUCCCCCACAUUGGAAAUGAGACACGGUCCAAACUCCUACGGGAGGCAGCAGUGAGGAAUACUGGUCAAUGGGCGGAAGCCUGAACCAGCCAAGUAGCGUGCAGGAUGACGGCCCUAUGGGUUGUAAACUGCUUUUAUACAGGAAUAAAGUUAGCCACGUGUGGUUAUUUGUAGGUACUGUAUGAAUAAGGACCGGCUAAUUCCGUGCCAGCCGCCGCAGUAA